UAUCGGAUACUGGGCGUAAGCGCAUGCAGGCGGUUUGUUAAGUCAGAUGUGAAAGCCCGGGGCUCAACCUCGGAACCGCAUUUGAAACUGGCAGGCUAGAGUCUUGUAGAGGGGGGUAGAAUUUCAGGUGUAGCGGUGAAAUGCGUAGAGAUCUGAAGGAAUACCAGUGGCGAAGGCGGCCCCCUGGACAAAGACUGACGCUCAGAUGCGAAAGCGUGGGUAGCAAACAGGAUUAGAUACCCUGGUAGUCCACGCCGUAAACGCUGUCUACUUGGAGGUUGAGGUUUUAGACUUUGGCUUUCGGCGCUAACGCAUUAAGUAGACCGCCUGGGGAGUACGGCCGCAAGGUUAAAACUCAAAUGAAUUGACGGGGGCCCGCACAAGCGGUGGAGCAUGUGGUUUAAUUCGAUGCAACGCGAAGAACCUUACCUACUCUUGACAUCCAGCGAAGCCUUUAGAGAUAGAGGCGUGCCUUCGGGAGCGCUGAGACAGGUGCUGCAUGGCUGUCGUCAGCUCGUGUUGUGAAAUGUUGGGUUAAGUCCCGCAACGAGCGCAACCCUUAUCCUUGUUUGCCAGCACGUAAUGGUGGGAACUCCAGGGAGACUGCCGGUGAUAAACCGGAGGAAGGUGGGGACGACGUCAAGUCAUCAUGGCCCUUACGAGUAGGGCUACACACGUGCUACAAUGGCAGAUACAGAGGGCAGCGAGACAGCGAUGUUUAGCGAAUCCCUUAAAGUUUGUCGUAGUCCGGAUUGGAGUCUGCAACUCGACUCCAUGAAGUCGGAAUCGCUAGUAAUCGUGGAUCAGAAUGCCACGGUGAAUACGUUCCCGGGCCUUGUACACACCGCCCGUCACACCAUGGGAGUGGGCUGCACCAGAAGUAGAUAGCUAACCUUCGGGAGGGCGUAC
rnacentral:rRNA from 1 species